GAUGAAGAACGCAGCGAAAUGCGAUAAGUAAUGUGAAUUGCAGAAUUCAGUGAAUCAUCGAAUCUUUGAACGCACCUUGCGCUCCUUGGUAUUCCGAGGAGCAUGCCUGUUUGAGUGUCAUUAAUAUAUCAACCUUCUCUUUUUUGAGUUGUUUGGAUGUGGGGGUUUGCUGGCCUCUUAAAUGAUUCAGCUCCCCUGAAAUGCAUUAGCAGAACAACCUGUUCAUUGGCGUGAUAAUUAUCUAUGCUAUUGAAUGUGAGGGCAGUUCAGCUUUCUAACCGUCCUUGGACAAUUCAUCAUUAAUGUGACCUCAAAUCAGGUAGGACUACCCGCUGAACUUAAGCAUAUCAAUAACGGAGGA
rnacentral:misc_RNA from 1 species